rnacentral:rRNA from 1 species
GCAUUCACUUUAAAUAGGGCUCCGUCUAAAUCCGUUGAGACGACACCGUAUGAAUUAUGGUUUGGGAAGAAACCUAAGCUAUCGUUUCUAAAAGUUUGGGGAUGCGAUGCUUAUGUCAAGAAACUUCAACCUGAAAAGCUCGAACCCAAGUCAGAAAAAUGCGUCUUCAUAGGAUACCCUAAGGAAACCAUUGGGUAUACCUUCUACCUCAGAUCCGAAGGCAAGAUCUUUGUUGCCAAGAAUGGGUCCUUUCUGGAGAAAGAGUUUCUCUCGAAAGAAGUAAGUGGGAGGAAAGUGGAACUUGAUGAAGUACUACCUCUUGAACCGGAAAGUAGCGCAGCUCAAGAAGAUGUUCCUGUGGUGCCUGCACUGACUAGAGAGGAAGCUAAU